AGACGACGAGGUUGAUAGGUUCGAGGUGGAAGUGCGGUAACGUAUGCAGCUGACGAAUACUAAUCGGUCGAGGGCUUAACCUA
rnacentral:ncRNA from 1 species